rnacentral:rRNA from 1 species
AGGGAAUCUUCGGCAAUGGACGAAAGUCUGACCGAGCAACGCCGCGUGAGUGAAGAAGGUUUUCGGAUCGUAAAGCUCUGUUGUAAGAGAAGAACGAGUGUGAGAGUGGAAAGUUCACACUGUGACGGUAUCUUACCAGAAAGGGACGGCUAACUACGUGCCAGCAGCCGCGGUAAUACGUAGGUCCCGAGCGUUGUCCGGAUUUAUUGGGCGUAAAGCGAGCGCAGGCGGUUAGAUAAGUCUGAAGUUAAAGGCUGUGGCUUAACCAUAGUACGCUUUGGAAACUGUUUAACUUGAGUGCAAGAGGGGAGAGUGGAAUUCCAUGUGUAGCGGUGAAAUGCGUAGAUAUAUGGAGGAACACCGGUGGCGAAAGCGGCUCUCUGGCUUGUAACUGACGCUGAGGCUCGAAAGCGUGGGGAGCAAACAGGAUUAGAUACCCUGGUAGUCCACGCCGUAAACGAUGAGUGCUAGGUGUUAGACCCUUUCCGGGGUUUAGUGCCGUAGCUAACGCAUUAAGCACUCCGCCUGGGGAGUACGACCGCAAGGUUG